UGCACAUGAUGCCAUUCUCACGAUGGUCUUCCAAGCCUCGUGGUGAAGGGGCCGUGAGGACAAGGCCAAAAGGCUUUGCUGAUGCCUGGUA
ensembl:snoRNA